GGGUCAGUAGGUUGGUCGUGCCACCGGUACGUACUGGUCUCACUGAUUCCUCCUUCCUGAAGGACCGUAAUGCCAUUGAUUUGGUGUUGCGGGGAAACAGGACUGUUACUUUGAAAAAAUUAGAGUGUUUAAAGCAAGCUAACGCUUGAAUACAUUAGCAUGGAAUAAUGAAAUAGGACGAUCGAUCCUAUUUUGUUGGCUUCUAGGAUUGACGUA
rnacentral:rRNA from 1 species